rnacentral:rRNA from 1 species
CUCUAUGCGUCAGAGUUUGAUCCUGGCUCAGAUUGAACGCUGGCGGCAUGCCUUACACAUGCAAGUCGAACGGCAGCACGGGAGCAAUCCUGGUGGCGAGUGGCGAACGGGUGAGUAAUGCAUCGGAACGUGUCCUGUAGUGGGGGAUAGCCCGGCGAAAGCCGGAUUAAUACCGCAUACGACCUGAGGGUGAAAGCGGGGGAUCUUCGGACCUCGCGCUAUAGGAGCGGCCGAUGUCAGAUUAGGUAGUUGGUGGGGUAAAGGCCUACCAAGCCGACGAUCUGUAGCUGGUCUGAGAGGACGACCAGCCACACUGGGACUGAGACACGGCCCAG